rnacentral:rRNA from 1 species
CUGAAUAACUGAAUGAUCGCAUGGUCUAAGAACCGGCGACGCAUCUUUCAAAUGUCUGCCUUAUCAACUUUCGAUGGUAGUUUACACGCCUACCAUGGUUGUAACGGGUUACGAGAAAUCAGGGUUUGAUUUCGGAGAGGGAGCCUGAGAAACGGCUACCACAUCCAAGGAAGGCAGCAGGCACGCAAAUUACCCACUCCCAGCGCGGGGAGGUAGUGACGAAAAAUAACGAGGCGAUGCUCUUUGAGUGUCGCCAUCGGAAUGGGUACAAUUUAAACCCUUUAACGAAUUCUAUUGGAGGGCAAGUCUGGUGCCAGCAGCCGCGGUAAUUCCAGCUCCAAUAGCGUAUAUUAACGUUGUUGCGUUUAAAAAG